rnacentral:hammerhead_ribozyme from 1 species
AAGCGAAACCACCCGCUGUUAUGCAGUAAGCGGGAGGGUAUGCCGAGCGUGGUGGCUCGGUACUGAUGAGCAGCCGGAG